rnacentral:rRNA from 1 species
AAUAUUGCACAAGGGGCGCAAGCCUGAUGCAGCGACGCCGCGUGGAGGAUGAAGGCUUUCGGAUCGUAAAGCCCUGUCCUGGGGGAAGAAGGUCUUCGGACUUGACGGUACCUAAUGAGGAAGCCCCGGCUAACUACGUGCCAGCAGCCGCGGUAAUACGUAGGGGGCAAGCGUUGUCCGGAAUUAUUGGGCGUAAAGGGUGCGUAGGCGGCCUUUUAAGUCAGAUGUGAAAGCCCACGGCUUAACCGUGGGACUGCAUUUGAAACUGGAGGGCUUGAGUAUCGGAGAGGGUAGUGGAAUUCCCAGUGUAGCGGUGGAAUGCGUAGAUAUUGGGAGGAACACCAGUGGCGAAGGCGACUACCUGGACGAAAACUGACGCUGAGGCACGAAAGCUAGGGGAGCAAAC